GCCGACGUAGCUCAGCUGGUAGAGCAUUUCCAUGGUAAGGAAAAGGUCACCGGUUCAAUCCCGGUCGUCGGCU
rnacentral:tRNA from 1 species